ensembl:lncRNA
UGUGACGUUUGUAGAAUGAUUUUCAGGGUUUCACCAAAUUCGUGGAGCCCACCCGUGAAUCCACAACUUCGCAUCCAUAAACUGAACCCAAGACUCCGGCUAACAGCCCUGAAAAUACUUUUCUAACCUUAACAGAUGGUCCUCCCAGGUCAAUAUUGUCCCUUCCUUUACAGAUGGAUUCAGUGACGUUGCCCGUGUCCUAGGUCACCCUGCAGAACUAGGAUACAGCCCCGAGAACAGGGCAGAGACCCUCGACCUGUAGACCUACAGUCGGAUGUGGUCUGGGUUUGAAUCCAGCCUUCAGUGUGUAGGAAUGUUGCAUAAGCCGUUUGUGCCUUAGUUUCCGCUGGUUUGUUGUUGUUGUUGUUUUGGCAGGGAGCCGGCAGGAGUUGUUGGUUUAUUUUCCCCCGGUUGACUCACUGGGUAAGUUUCAGGUGUGCAGUCGAUUCGAUACAUAUACAUGGUGCGAGAUGACUCCAUCCUGUCGCACAGUUACCAUUUCUUUUCCUGCGGUGGGAACGCUUACGACCUCUCAGGACCAUUCAAGUAUAUGAUACAAGUGUUAUUAGCUGUGAUUCCCCAUGCUGUGACCUAGUGUGUUCAUCUGAAAAAAAAAAAAAAUGGGACUGAAUAACGGCAUCUUUUUCUUAGAGCUGUUGGGAGUUAGACAAGACUGCCCAGAAAGCCAGGCUAUCCAAACAGACAGAAACAAACAAAACCCCCAGGGGCCCAGCUCCAGGGACGGUCGGAGAAAAUGCAGACGGGGGAUUCCGGCUGCUUUCUGCUCUCGCGUAAAGAUUCAUCAAGAACCCCCUGCCACCCCAAAUCAAAUCUGCGCUCCAGCGCAAGCCCCAGGAAUCCCCAAAUGGGGAGGGGGCUGUAAAAACAGACACGCCUGCCAUGUCUCCCACUCCCCAAGCCCGAGGUAUUUUUACUGGCUAAUUGCUUAAGUGAAGCCGCCCGGGCCGAGAGCGCGCCGUAACCCGAGCAGGGAACCAGAUCCAGCUCGGAUUGUGCCCGGGCCGGCAGCGCGGGCGGGGGCGGGGGCGGCUGCCGACCACCCACCGCGAGGGCAGCCGCCCCGCCCGCCGCCGCCCCUGCUCUGCAUUACCGCCGGCCCGCGCCGCCCUCGUCCCCGUUCCCUCGAUCCCCUUCCCGGGCGACGUCCAAAGGCGACACAAGGUUCUGUGGAUGGACUGGGCUCAGCCGGGCAGCUCUUCCACUCCCUGUGAUGCUCCACUGCGACACCUGGGCUGGACGCCCAGGCUGGCCUGCUCUCCUAGCCGGUUCUGGGAACCCAGCUGAGAGUUUCGAUUGGAGCCUCAGUUCUCCUCCCAGCGCCCGCACCAUGUGGCCCCGCGUUGUAACGAUAGAUUCCUGGAUCCUAAGAGGAGGGAAGUAGGAGCUUUCAGCCUCUGUAGGACCUGGGCUCAGAUGCCCAGGACCACUGUCCUAUUGCCCAGAGCAGAGAGAGGGCCAGCCGUACUGGACGGAGGGCUGCCCUGUGCCUCCAGGGGGCUGGCACUGUCAAGACCAUCUUUGGAGCUUAUGAGUGGAUUGUGGGUUGAUGGGCACUGGAGAAGGCCCACUCUGGUCGUUGUGGGGAGUGGCCUAUGAGCUCAGCAUCCACCAGGACUAUAGAAUCCCUUCCUGGCCCUUCUCACCUUGACCUCAACCUCCACACUAAAGGUUGGCCCUCUCUGAGCCCCUGACUAUGAGCAGAGAACACAUGUCCGACUCCCGUGGCCUGCAUCCUGACUGAUGGCUAGAGAAGCAUGCUGAAGCUAGUCCCCAGCUCCUGCCUCUGGCUUGGGUUCCCAAGGGCACACCUGCCUCCAUGAAUCAGAUGCCUUCGUGGAAACGGUCCACACUGCACCCCAAACCCAGAUCCUGCAGUCCACCAGCAGUGUGGGCAUAAACUAAGACUCACGUCUGUCCAGUGUGGAGCAAGUUAGGCUGUUCCUCAGCAUGGAGCUUGGGGAACCUGGAACAAGGGGUGGCCUAGAUGCUCCCCUCCGGGGGGAUGGACUGGACCACAGAGCUGUGUGUACGUGGUGGAAUGUGUGCAGUGCUGAGACCGUGGAAUGGAGCUGCUCACAGCCACGCAAACAGCUUCAAAGCGUAGGACCCUCAGAACCAGGAUGGAGGCAGUGGAGCAUCCUGAGGUGGAGCUCAGCCUCUGGAGCUGUAAGGCGAGGGUCCAAAUCCCCACUCCUUCACUGACCAUGAGCUUGGGCAGGUCACUUACCCUCCUUGGGUGCUUAUACCCUCAAAAUAUGCAGGACAGCGGGCUCCUGUGUGGAUGGCUGCUCCUCGCUGCCCCCCAGGGCCGUCCCCACGGACAGGACGGGGAGAGAGGGGCGUUGCUAGGAUGCUGAGUGCUCGCCGGAGGCGUGGAGAACCACCGCCUGGUGAUGGAGACAGCCCAGCUAGGGCGGCCCCGUAUCCUGGGACAGGACAGUCAUGCCUGUUGUCUUAGUUGAUUUUUUUUUUUUUUAUCCAGCUUAGACAAAGAUGGGCAAUAAGGGUAGUUUUAGAAAUGAUAUAAAGACUUCCCUGGCGGUCCAGUGGCUAAGACUCCACACUCCCAAUGCAGGGGGCCUGAGUUUGAUCCUUGGUCAGGGAGCUAGAUCGCACAUGCCGCAACUAAGACCCGGUGCAGCCAGAAAAAAGAGAAAGACACACAGAGUGGAGAACCGCACGUGAGAUUCAGGGAGAGGCCACGUGGCGGCAGAGGCGGAGGCUGGAGCGCUGCGUCUGUGUGCCGAGCGCCACUGACCGCGCUAGCGGCCGAUGCGGGGAGAGGCCGGGGAUGGUGCCUCCAGAAUGAACCAGCCUUAUGCACACCUGGACUCUAGACUCCCCGCCUCUGGACCUGCGAGGGGGCACAUUUCUGUUGUUCUAAGCCCCCCAAGUAGUGGUGCUUCGUUAUGGCAGCCCCAGGGAACCCACACAGAUUUAAGUAUAUAAUUUUGUAUGUAUUUGUUAUAUAAAAGAUAUUUGUAAAUCUUUGAGCAGUGAAUAAAAUUCAUUAAAUUGUGUUGUAAAAAAAAAGAUAAAUAAUGUUAUCUAUACAUUUUCUAUGCUUGUAAAGAAAAACAUCCAAGCCUACAGAGGGUUCCUCUUGUUUUAAUUAUUUCAUUCCUUUAAACAACAAACAAUGUGGCUAGAAUAAACAGAUUUUUUUUUCCCUCGUGAAACAAACAGAAAGGGUUCAAUGACUUAAAUAGGUAAACCAUCCCACCAGCGUGGAAUCCGGGCUCAGGCUCCAGACAGAGUCGUGUGUGUGGCAGCAUCUGUGGAGUUUGGGGCUUUGCCCGUUUCGUGGGAAGGGAGCCGGGCCUUUUCCGAGAAAGGCUCCCCAGCGCACUGGGCUUCCUGACUGGCUCGGGGUGUGAGCCGGCUUUAGAGCUGCUCUGCCUCCCCAAAGCCAGCAGCCUCCACCCUCCAGACAGGACCCUGCUCCUGGGACCCCAUCUGUCCCUGAGUCUUGGGCCACAGCCGUCGGAACCUCCAGCAGCUGGCCCUUCGGUCUGGAGCAAAGAACAUCCACUCCUCCCACUCACCAGCGCUCCUGGAGUUUCCCUGGGGGCCUCUUGUCUGGCCCAAAGGUGGGAAGGUGUCAGAAAAUUGCAAGGAAGUUGCUCUUACUGUUGGGAGUCAGCGGUGAUGCUAAGGGGAUGCUGGAGGUCCGCAUUCCUGCCUUGAAGAGAAGUCAAGUCCACCUGAGCAGGACGCCCUAGGAGCAGCAAAGAACGAGCUGAGACACAGGAACUCCUUGUUUUGAAUCAGAAAGACGGAGGGUUGUUAACACCCCUGAGGGCUGGUGCAGGAUCUGAGAACCAGGUAUUCUUUCCUGCCUGCUCUCUACUGGAUCCUGUUGGGUUCGUGCAAUGGACUUGCAAGGUAACAGCUGUUACGUAGGAGUUCACCAGUCUCCAAAGCUGCUUCUGUAUAUAAUUGGGAACAUCACAAUGGGGAAACAGGAAAGGACAGCAACAUACUCUUAAGUCCACAGCACACCGGGUUCUUCUUUUAUUAAUUUCCCAACGUUAGGCAGAAUGACCCCAGUUUGCAUCUGGAGACAGUAAAGCUCAGAGAAGUUAAGGAGCUUGCCCAAGGCCACGCAGCGAAGAUGGGACUAGGCAGGGCUUUGAACACAGAUGCGGGUGCCAACAAUGAGCGCACCAGUCUCUCCUGGUCCUCACGCUCCUCUAGACCUUGCCGCCCCACCUUCAAGUGUGGAGCUGGGCCCUCUGAUUCCCAGCAGGCUCCGCAACACCCCUACUGGAAGGGGACAGCAGAAGUGACGGGCUGUGACUUCUGAGGCUCUGGGAUGCUCAUUCCUGGAGCCCAGCCGUCAUGCUCAGAGGAAGCCCCGGCGGCCCGUGAGGGCCCCAAGUGGAGAGGACCCAAGGCCCCCGGCCCGCAGCCCUGGCUAUGCUCUCAGUCACGUGGGUGGGGGUGCCAUCUCGGAAGUGGGUCCUCCAGCCCCAUUAACCUCCCCUACUGCUGUUGUUCAGCCCCUCAGUCGUGUCCGACUCUCCGCAUCCCCAAGGACUACAGCAUGCCAGGCCUCCCCUGUCCUUCACCAUCUCCCAGAGUUUGCUCAAACUCAUGUCCAUUGCGUCGGUGAUGCCAUCCAACCAUCUCAUCCUCUGUCACCCCCUUCUCCUCCUGUCCUCAGUCUUUCCCAGCAUCAGCGUCUUUCCCCAUGAGUUGGCUCUUCACAUCAGGUGGACCAAAGUAUUGGAGCUUCAGCUUCAGCAUCAGUAUCUUGGGUAGGCUUUGGCAAAAAAAAAAAAAAAAAAAAAAAAAAAGGUAGGCACUGUAAUCAGGUAGCUGUGAAGAGAGCUGCCGUCUUUGCCCACAUCCAGCACAGGGGUUCUGGGGCAGAGGUGGCUAGAAGGGCACACACCACGGGGGAGAUUUCAUGAUGGCUGGAUGGCAGCCAAUGGCCGGUGCCGGGCCUGCCCCUCACCGCUGUGAGGCCGAGUCCUCAUCCUCAUGAUGCCCCUAAUGGCCAGUCUGGACAACCUAGCUCUGGACAGCUGGGUCUGUCAGGCCCCAAAUAGACACUCAGAAAUAGUCACCCAGUUUUACUGGCUGUCACUGUGUAGCAUUGUGCGGCUGCUGCUGCUGAGUCGCUUCAGUCGUGUCCGACUCUGUGCGACCCCAUAGACGGAAGCCCACCAAGCUCCCCCAUCCCUGGGAUUCUGAGAGCCUUGCAUUUCAAAAGGUGUUCCAUCCAUCCUCAUUUUAUUCGAGAGGAAACUGAAGCUCAGAGAGUCAUGCAGCUAGGAAGUAGCAAGCCGAGACUCCCAACCUCCCAGACCCGCCCCCCACCCAGGGGCCUACCCUACUGAACCUAAACUGUGUCAUCACAGGCCCCCCACCCAGGUGACUCUGCUGCACUCGGGGUUAUAACGUGGGUCUGGGGAGUUGAGGCUUCCCUAGAGGAAGCGUCUUGAUGGUCCCCAGUGUGGCCCCAGGUCGCCCCUUCCCAAAGCCUUGUAACUUUCUGGUCCUUCAAUGCCUCACAUGUCCUUCCGCUGACAAAGCCUCUUCUUCCCCACACCCCCACGUGCUGUCAAUUCAGUCAGGAUGCCCCCGGCUGUACUUCAGAGAAACUGGCUUCAGCAGUGAGGGCACGCGUGUUUCUCACGUAAAGCGUCUGCUGGUGGGGGGCCACGUCAGAUGUGGUGUCUCAGCACUUGCGCGCAUGUGUGUGUAUUCGUGUCCAGCUCUUUGCAACCCCAGGGCCGAUAGUUCACCGGGCCCCUCUGUCCAUGGGAUUUUCCAGGCAAGAAUACUGGAGUGAGUUGCCAUUUCCUCCUCCAGGGGAUCUUCCUGACCCAGGAAAUCAAACUCUCGUCUCCUGCAUCUCCUGCAUUGCAGGUGGAUUCUUUACCCUUGAGCCACUGAGGAGUCGCUGUCUCAGUGCUUAUCCUAGAGUCACUGAGGACCCAGGUCUCUUCAUCCUUGUGCUCUGCUGUCCUUUGCAAUGGUGCUUGAGGUCUUGUCACCUCAUGUCUAUAGGGUGGCUGCCGUAGCUCAGACAUCACAUCCUUUCUCUCACAUCCCAAACAAGAAAGAAGGCAGCAAGUGAAAAAAAGACACUUUGCUUUUAAAAGGAAGAGAAGCUUUCUGAGAAGCCCAGCCGAGAUAUAUGGUUUCACAUCAUUGUCGGGCUCAGGUUCGGGACAGACUGGGUUUAGACCCCUGCUCUGCCCUUCCUAGCUGUGUGGCUGUGGGCAAGUGACACCACCCCGCCUGGUUGUCUGUGUUCUGGGCGGGCCGGCUCUGAGAGUUAGGAGGAUUAGGGGAGCAGGAUAUGCGAAGUGCAGGCACAGGGUGAGCUGCCACUGCUGUUCUCAGCCUCGCCAGCUUCUGUGACGGAGGCUGCGCAACGGGUGUGGUGCAGAGGUAUAAAGGCUCUGCCUGAGAGCCCUGCAUCUUCCACACCUGCCCCCACAAAAGCCAACUCUCUCGCAGGGACUUUUAUUUCAAGCGUGUGAGCAUGAGGCAUGAGAGCUCUGCUUGCUGCAGCCUCUGUGCUGGGGUCUCGCUUGUUGUAGCUUUAUAUGACUUGUAGCUGAGUGUGUGCUAAAGUCUGAACCCCUCUGCACUUCCCCGAGAGGCAGCAGUUCACCCCGGGAAGGAUUAGCAUGUCAUGGUAGGAAUGCAAAGAGAGAGCUUCCACUUCCAAAACAGGCCCUCGGGGUUUGCGGCUUCCUGAUGGUCUGGAGACUUUUGAGAAGACAAGUGUUUCCUGCAUUCUAGUCACUGCCCUUUCGCUUCCAGAGGCAAGACCCCCGAGGCAGGCUGGGGGUGGGGGGAUGGUCACUUGAGCCCAGGUGGCGGGGCUCCUUGCUCACACCCAGGCCCCUGCAUUGAGAAGGGAAGCCGGAAAGCAGCAAAGUGAGGCCACCAGGCAUGGGACCAAGGUCCUCAGAGUCGACUCUGAUGGGGUGUGGGGUGGUAGGUAGAUGUCAUUGGAGAAGCAGGGAUUGAGAACCUUGGGGCUGGUAGCAAGCCCCCUGGGCCACUCGUCCCCUGCUUUUUACAUGGAACCACACAUCUUCUGCAGAAAGGAGACAGAGACCUCCAAGGUGGCAGAGAAGAGUAGUAGCCACAGUGUGUGAGUGUCCUGUGGCCCUGAAACAAAGGACCACAAGCAGGGUGGCAUAAAGCAACAGGAGUCAUUCCCAGAGAGGCCAAAAGUCUGCAGUCGGGGUGUUGAUGGGGUGUCAGAUACAGACCCCCAGGGGCCAUGCUCCCUCCAGAGGCUCCAGGGGAGGGUCCCUCCUGCCUCUCCUGGAUCCUGGGGGCUCCAGGAAUCCUCGGCUUGUGGCUGCUUUGGUUGGUCCCUGCCUCUGUCCUCACCUGGCUUCCCCUGUCUGUGUGUCCUCUUCUGUCACUUAUAAGGUCACUGUCCCAGGAUUUAGGGCCACCUUAGUCCAGUCUCAAGACUCUUAACUUACAUGCGCAAAGAUCCUUUUUCCAAAUGAAGUCACUUUCCCAGGUUUCAGGGGUUAGGACAUGGACAUUUCAUUUUGAGGGGUCGUCACCAACCAUCAGUAGCCAUUCAAAGGCCCCAGCUGCACUGAGAUAGUGGAAGUUGUGGAAGAAACUGUCCCAUCUCACUUGCCUGGAAAGCAAACCUGGAGUGCAGGGGUGGGGAGGAGAGGGUGGAAGAUGUGUUUGCAGGUAUGGGCUCGGCGGCGGCCAUAAAGGUCCAGAUGCCGUGUGUCUAAACAGGGAGAAGCUAAAGCCCGCCCGUGGCUGGUGUCCCACACAGCGUGUGGGGCUGAGGGGCGGGUGCACGGUGUCGGCGGCCAGAACUGUAGUUUCUCUGGUUCGUCGCCCAACCAUAGACUGAUGCCCCCGUGUGCAUGACUGCCCACGAGUGAGUCCAGUGCUGGGCAGGGGAAGGACGCAGGGGCAGGGUUGAGGGACGGGCACCCCCAGGGCUAGUGCUGAGGUUGGCGUACGUGAUGGCACAGCCGCCCGGGUUCCCCGUUGUCAGCGUGUGUGUUGGUUCCUCGGGGCCUGUCUGUUCUGCUCGCUCAGUGUUUGGCACCCCUUCCCUGGAGGGCAUGUUGUGCCUGUCAUUGCACCCAGCACCUGGUCAUGUGGCCACAACUAGCUGCAAGGAAGUCCGGAAGUGGAUUCUUUACUAACAGUGGCUAUUUGCUGAGCAGAAAAUUCGAUUACCACGAAAGAAGGAGGAAAGGAGAUGCCGGUUGACAAACCGUGUCUGCAAAGGAGGGGACUGGCAUUCUGGGGACAAGCUCAGCUUCUCCUGACUCCUCGGCUGCCUGGCAUUUGCUGGAGGAAGGGUGAUGGAUCUUGGCCCAGGAAAGCCCUUGGUCUUCACACUGACCUGGGUCCUUGGGCAUAGCAGCCGUGGGCCGUCACCGGCUGAGCCUUCUCCUUGUGCACCAGCUGGCACCCCAGCAUGGCAGGGGUCCAACUCUGUCCCCUGAGAUGCUGACCCACUUCCAGCGCAGAGCUGAGGGGAACUGCGCUGACGGAUCACUUAGAUGCCGCCCACCACCUGUGUGCUAUUGCUUGUUGAGAAGCUGCAGAAGCUUCCAGCCGACAGCCCUCUGCAGAGUGGGGCCAGACGCCCCCUAGAGCAGCUGGCCCAUGGCCAUCAGGGACCCGCAGGCAGCUCCAGCACCACUCUUCUCCGGGAUGUUAUGCAGCCAGCAAGCUCAGUGAGGUCACUGUCUGCAGGAUGACGAGGCUGCCUCCGCUCCCUGGCAAUGUCCCGCUUGCCUUGUUUGUUUCAGAUCCUCUUGCCAGACCCCAAAACCAAGCACCCACCCCAUCCCGUUGUCUUUGAGGCUCACUUCAUUUUCACAAUAGAAAAUGAAAUUGCCCUUUGUGGGAGAUGUAGCUCUUCCUUUGUCUCCCUCCUCCAUCUCACCCUCUUCAUUCAUUUAUUCAGCAAAUAAUAAGGAAGAGACAUUCACUGAGUCCCUGCAAGGGGCCAGGCCCUGUGCCAGAACUUGCCAGACAUCUUCUCCGUGGCCAGUCGGCAUGUGAUGUCAUGGCUAGGCAGACACAGAGGCAACAAUACCACGCAUAACUGUUGUGUUAAACGUAGCAUGGAUUGUCCACAAAGAAUAUGAAAGUGGGUCUAGCCUCACUAGGACUGUUGGGGAAGUGCGCAUUAAAACAUCCAGUGAGCCCCACCUCUGGGUGUAUUUCUGAAAGAACCGAUGAUAAUGGUUUGAAGAGAUAUUUGCACAUCCGUGCCUAUGGCAGCACCAAUCACAGCAGGCAGGAGGUAGAAGCAGAUCCAGUGUUCAUUAGUGGAUGAGUGGAUGAACAGAUAUGGUCCAUCAUCCGAUGUAGUAUUCAGCUGUUAAAGGAAAAAGAGCAACAUGGACGAAUCUUGAGGGCAUUAUGCUAAAAUGAAGUCAGCCAGUCACACAAGACAAAUACUGUAUGAUUUCACUUAUACAAGGUACCUAGAGUAGCCAGAUUCAUGGAGAUGGAUAGUACCAUGGUGGGUGCUGGAGGCUCGGGCAGGGGAGAUGGGAGUUCAAUGGGCUUUCAGUUUGGGAAGAUGAAUAAGUUUAAGAAUAUCUGUUUCACAACAAUGGGAACGUACUUAACACUCCUGAACUGUACACUUAAAAAUGGCCAAGAUGAUAACUUUCAUGUUAUGUGGCUUUUUCUUUGGUGGGGGGAUUCCCUGGUGGCUCAGACGGUAAAGAAUCUGCCUGCACAAUUUUAAAAAAAGAAAACAAGAAAACAUUUUUUACCCAUUGAAUUAUAUUAAUGGUGGGAGUGUCAAUCAGUAAACUGUCUAGGAAAUCAUCUAGAAAUGUCCUUAAUAUCCUAAAUGCACACAUCCUUGGAUGCCCCAGUGUCUCACUUGAAAAUCUCCAGAAACAAAGGAGGUGGCUGGUUGGUGUAAAUGAGCUCCACAGAGUCCCUCAGCCCUGUGCCCAGCACCCCACAGCACUCAGAUGUAGCUGUGGUUACAACCAUCAUAGCAUUGUAACAGUGACCCCUGCAGUCAGGGGUCUCCAGGGCAAUAGAACCAAUAGAGUAAGUGUAAUGUAUAGGAGAGAUACAUUGUACGUAUGAGGUGUAUGAGGAGAGUCACUUCAGGGAACUGGCUUUUUGCAGGAAUGCCAUUGCAGAGGCUGGCGUCUCUGAAACCUGCAGCGCAGGCAGGCAACUCAGGCAGACUUUCUUCCUCUCCAGGAAAACUCGGGUUUGCUCUUAAGACCUUCACCUGAUUGGAUGAGGCCCACCCACCCGAUCCAGGGUCACCUCCUUUACUUAAAGCCAGCUGACUGUCGAUUCUGUCCACACCUCCUAGAUACCUUUGGAGCAACAGCUGGAUGAGUGUCUCAUUGAAUAACUGGGCACGACAGCCUGGCCAAGUCCACAUCAACCAGACCAUUGCAGGGGCUCACAUUGCCAGGCUGGGUCCCUCUUCCCUGCAGGGCUCUGGGGACCAGGCUGGGCAGUGAACAGCUCUGUCAGUGUCUUCUGUGGCUCCACUGGCUCAGCCCAUCCAGGCAGAAUUAUCUCAAGGGAUUUGCUGUAACACUGAGGUUUUAGCCACUCAUCCUCCAUGUCUGAGUUUGUCAGUUCGACCAGAGAAAAUCCGAGUCUUCACCAUUUGCUGGCCUUUCUGCCUCCAGGCACGUGGACACAUGGACGGCCUGCCCAUUAGAGGUGGACCAUGCCCAUGGGUUGAUGGUGGGCCAGGAAGCGAGGACAGCCAUAGCUGUGAUUCCUGAGCACUUACUAGGCACCAGGAGGCUUUAACCACAUUACCAGUAUUAACUUCUAUCAUCAUACAGCUGGAUACUGAUUGUGCACGCGUGCUCAGUAGCUCAGUCUAUCCAACUCUGUGCGACCCCAUGGACUGUAG